ensembl:lncRNA
CUUUCACCUGAUCCUGCAGGUGGGCGGGCAGGCAUGCGGGGGUCUGUGGUCUUCCCUGCUUCACUUGCCCACCCCGAGGGCCCCCUUGCCAGGCCCGUGCUGGGCAAAGCUAACAAAAGGCUCUCACUGAGUCAGGGCAUGCGUGGGAGUUUAUAAUCUGUACACACACAGCCAGCGGCUUGCUGCACCCAACCCCAAGCCCAUAUACAUGCUUCCAAGGUCUCAGUAAAGAAGCAAGGCCCCGAGAAACGCAGCUCAGCUGGACAGAAGAAGGACCCUGGCCAGGAAGGCAAUGGAGAAGGAGAUAAGAGCAAAAGGGGAAAGCAAAAAAGGAGACAGAAAGUAAGCGGAGGAAGCUAUACCUCCUCCAGGGCCCUGGCGGAAGGAGAGGACACAGAGGUAGAAAGACACCCACGGACAAACAGCACGGUCCAGCCCGAGGGGUCACUGCCAGGAGCACCGUGGGCGGCGCCAACCCCAUGGUCUGGCGGCUGAAGAGAAGCUGAGGAUACAGCUAGCUGUUCUCUCGGGACGGGACGUCUGGAGCCAGAGCUGGGGGAAACAGAGCACCGCCCAGGACAAGACUCAAGUGGAAGGGAAAGCAAGAGAUUGAAGAGGCGAAGGGAAGACUCAGGAGUGAGGAGGGCCCUCGCCACAGAGAGCAGUUUGGCCUUUACUGGGUGACUCUCAGAUCGAGUCUGGGCUCUUUUUUCAGUCACUGCUUUGCUUUAUCCCCGGUGCCUACAAAACCCCAGGCACCGAAUGAAGCCAAGAAGUGGCCGGCGAUGCCUUUUUAAAAAUUCAGAUGUGAAGAAGGAGUCAGAGGGCCCUGGGCUCUCCACAGUGGGGUUGGAGAGGCGGCUCUUAACUGGCGAUGGGAAGGUGUGAAGUGUGGGCAGGCGGGAAGGAAGUGGAAGUCACCCAGCACGGCUCCAGAGCCUUCACUCUCACAGGCAAUGAAAGGAAGGCACUCGACGGUCACUUCCUUCCAGAAGCCUCAUUGGAGUCACGUGGCUGGGGCUCCUACAACUCAGCAACUGACGUGGUGCUUCCUGUACACUUUCCUCUUGUUUUAUGAGAUAACACCCAAGAUAAACACGAAGCAGCCAGCUCUCUUUUAUAGCAUUUCUCUGGUGGGCAGAAGCUACCUAAGAUAAAUAUGUUUACAGAUAGAAAUAUGGUUGGGUUGCGGAGGGGGGGGAUAGUCCUUCCACUUGUGUAUUUUUUCCCCUUAGGAUUUAAAAAGAAAAAUCUUUAAUGUUUUUUAUUUUGCUGUAAGCCAGUGGGGAACCAUAAUUACAGAGCUGUUUGUCAAAAAACAAACAAAACACACAUGCGCAAUAGUAGCAGCUAUGCAUUAGUGCCUCUUUAUAAUUAAGAUGAAGGUGAUAUGAAAAAUAUAUUUUAGGCCAGGCAUGGUAGAGCAAGCCUCUAAUCCUAGCACUCAAGAGGCUGAGGCAGGAGGAUUGCCAGUUCAAACCUGGCCUGAGUGACAUAGUGAGAUACUGCCUCAAAAAUCAAAAAGAGAGGGUCGGGGAUUUAGCUCAGUGGUUCCGCCACCUGCUUCACUAGCACAAGGACCUGAGUUCGAUCCCCGGUACCGGGAAAAAAACAAAGAGGAAGGAAGGAAGAGAGGAAAGGAGGGAAAGAAGUAUUUUCUGCAGUAUCAUUGAUUCUGUUAUCCUCCUGCUCAUUCCCCUUUGCUUAUCUGCUUUUUCUGAAGGGCAGGUGUCCUUACGCAUCAGCACUUUCUAGGUGGCUGAGUGCCUCAGCCAGGUUUCUACCUGUGCCACCCUUGACAUUUCAACCACACAAGGGCACAGAAGGGGUCAUAGGGCUCGGGUUUCCUUCCAGAAGAGAUGAGAUCCUACUCUCCAAAGUGGACCCUUUGACCAGUGCUCCCUAAAGCUGAAAUCUUGUGGAGUAGAUGUGCUAGUGUUUUGUCUGCUGGUUUUGUGGUCCUGGGGAUUGAACCCUGGGCCUUGUGUAUGCCAGGCAAGUGCUCUUCCACUGAGCUAUAUCUCCAGCCUUUCUGGUUUUAUUUAUUUCCAGACAUGGUCUUGCAGAGUUGCUCAGGCUGGCCUUGACUUUCAAUUCUCCUGCCUCAGCCUCCUCAGUAGCUGGAAUUACAGGCACACGCUAUCACACCUGGCAUGUGAUAUUUUUGGUUAGAUCUCUGGCUGUUAUUUUUAAGAAAUGAGUGCUUACAGUUCCUCAAAUUAUCACAGUGGAUCAGGGAUCAUGUGCUUCCUGUUUGGACACAAGGGCCCCUCUUACUCCCCACUCUGGCCUUUGAGGUGUUUAUCACGAAUCUGGCCGAAAGUCUCCCGGCGACUUCCCCUGUGGCUCUGGGUGAGCCUGCUCCUGCAUUUGGAAGCUCCCGACAUUAGAGUAAGUGGAGAAGCCAUGCAUAGAAAUCAAGCCCUGGUGGUGCACACCUAUAAUCCCAGCAUUCAGGAGGCUGAGGCAGGAAGAUUGCCAGAAGUUUGAGGGAACCCUGGGCUCCCUAAUGAGUUCAAGAGCAGCUUGGACUACACAUCGAGACUUGGUCUCAAAAACACCAAAAACAGGGCCGGGGAUUUAGCUCAGUGGUUUCACUGCCUGCUGCGCAAGUGCAAGGUCCUGAGUUUGAUCCCCCAUACCAAAAAAAAAAAAAAAAAAAAAAGCCAAAAACAAACAAACCAGAAAUGGCUUUAAAUCUGGACUUCUGUGCUACCUUCAAAUGGGGCUGUGAAUUCACACACAAAGUUGAGCUUACAGGAGGGAAAGAAGAGAAUAUUCAUCUUGCAAUUUUAAUUUAAAUGACAAACAUUAGGGCUGGGGAUUUAGCUCAGUGGUUCUACCACCUGCUUUGCAAGUGCAACGUCCCAAGUUUGAUCCCUGGUACCAAAAAACAAAAAACAAUAAAGGACAAACACUAAAAUAUUCCAUGAUUUUGUAAAUCAUGUUUUGCUAUUUGAACAUUUUAAGAAACCUCCUACGAAGCUCAAAGGUGGAAUUGGCUCCCUUCUCUCUUUUCCCCAUUAGCAGCGGGUCACUGCUCACUGAAUAACUAGGACCUUUUUCUGGUGCUCAAGCAUCCCUUCUUCACUCCCAGGGGAGUGUUGGGGCCACAGCCAGCUUCUCCCAGUCCUGUCAGGGGUGCAGGCUCUCCCAGAGGACCUGACACAAAUACCAUCACUACAUGAGUGGUCCACCCACCUGGCCCUCACUAUUAGCCUUGCUGAGGUUCAGAUCUAAAAUGUUCCCCAAAAGUCUGUGUGUGGGAGGUGAUUGGAUCAGAGGUACCAUGCUCAUCAGGGGACUCAUCCAUGGGUGAGUUAGUUCAUGGCUGAGCUCGCUGUCAGGAGGUAAGGCCUGACCUUGUAGUGUAUUCUUGUCCCUGGCUCUUCCCUUCUCUCUCUCUGCAUCCUGGCUGCCAUGAGGUGAGCACAUUUCCUCCACCAGGCCCUUCCACUAGGCUGUUUCUGCCUUGGUGUGGGGAGCGGUGUCAGCCAAAGAAGCUCCAUUUUAAGUUUACCCUCCGUUGUAAAUAGGAGAUUAUGUUAUGGGGAACCGUGUCCUUGCCAACUCCGAUGCUUACCUUCAGAGGUUGCCUUAGAAACAAGAUAAAUGUUCUGUAACCUCAAGAAACAAAAUAGCCCUUGAGGGCGGGGAAUGUUCAAAAAACUAGUAAACAAGGAAGCAGGUGUUUUUUGUAUAAAGGUAAUGAUUAAUGACCUAACUCACUGAGUGUAUAAGAGAGGUGUAAAUAAACUUGCUUGCUUGGUCUUGGGAGCCCUCCCGACUCUGUCUCUUUGUCUUAUUUUCUCAGUCCUCCUUUCCCCCAUUCAG